ACGCCUCAACUCUUUAUGGUUUUCCAUGAUGAGCUUGGACUUUGGGGGUUUUGCUGGCUUACGGUCGGCUCCUCUAAAAUAAAUCAGCUUACCGGUGUUUGGUGGGUAUCAUGGGUGUGAUAACUAUCUACGCUUGUGGUUUUUCCACCAGGUAACCUUCAGCAGUGGAGGUUCACUGGAGCUCAUAGACGUCUCUCCUCAGCGAGGACAGCCCCUUUGAAU
rnacentral:misc_RNA from 1 species